UGGGGAAUAUUGGACAAUGGGGGCAACCCUGAUCCAGCAAUGCCGCGUGUGUGAAGAAGGUCUUCGGAUUGUAAAGCACUUUCGACGGGGACGAUGAUGACGGUACCCGUAGAAGAAGCCCGGCUAACUUCGUGCCAGCAGCCGCGGUAAUACGAAGGGGGCUAGCGUUGCUCGGAAUGACUGGGCGUAAAGGGCGUGUAGGCGGUUUACACAGUCAGAUGUGAAAUCCCCGGGCUUAACCUGGGAGCUGCAUU
rnacentral:rRNA from 1 species